UACGAAGGGCCCGAGCGUUAUCCGGAUUUAUUGGGUUUAAAGGGUGCGUAGGCGGACACGCAAGUCAGUGGUGAAAUCUCCCAGCUUAACUGGGAAACUGCCAUUGAAACUGUGUGUCUUGAGUACAUUUGAGGCGGGCGGAAUGGGUCAUGUAGAGGUGAAAUGCUUAGAUAUGACACAGAACACCAAUUGCGAAGGCAGCUCGCUAAACUGUAACUGACGCUGAGGCACGAAAGCGUGGGGAUCAAACAGG
rnacentral:rRNA from 1 species